UCCGGUUGAUCCUGCCGGAGGCCACUGCUAUCGGGGUCCGAUUAAGCCAUGCGAGUCGAGAGGGGUUAUGCCCUCGGCGAACGGCUCAGUAACACGUGGAUAACCUACCCUCAGAUCUGGAAUAACUCCGGGAAACUGGAGAUAAUACCGGAUAAUCCGUGAGCGCUGGAAUGCCUUACGGUUCAAAGCUUUAGCGUCUGAGGAUGGGUCUGCGGCCGAUUAGGUAGUUGCUGGGGUAACGUCCCAACAAGCCGAUAAUCGGUACGGGUUGUGAGAGCAAGAGCCCGGAGAUGGAUUCUGAGACACGAAUCCAGGUCCUACGGGGCGCAGCAGGCGCGAAAACUUUACACUGCGCGAAAGCGCGAUAAGGGGACCUCGAGUGCGUGCGCAAUGCGUACGCUUUUCAUAUGCCUAAAAAGCAUGUGGAAUAAGGGCCGGGCAAGACCGGUGCCAGCCGCCGCGGUAACACCGGCGGCUCAAGUGGUGGCCGCUAUUAUUGGGCUUAAAGGGUCCGUAGCCGGACCAGUUAGUCCCUUGGGAAAUCUUACGGCUUAACCGUAAGGCUGCCAAUGGAUACUGCUGGUCUUGGGACCGGGAGAGGCAAGAGGUACCUCAGGGGUAGGAGUGAAAUCCUGUAAUCCUUGAGGGACCGCCAGUGGCGAAGGCGUCUUGCUAGAACGGGUCCGACGGUGAGGGACGAAAGCUAGGGGCACGAACCGGAUUAGAUACCCGGGUAGUCCUAGCCGUAAACGAUGCGAGCUAGGUGUCACGUGGAUUGCGAAUCCAUGUGGCGCCGUAGGGAAACCGUGAAGCUCGCCGCCUGGGAAGUACGGCCGCAAGGCUGAAACUUAAGGGAAUUGGCGGGGGAGCACCACAACGGGUGGAGCCUGCGGUUUAAUUGGACUCAACGCCGGAAAGCUCACCGGAGACGACAGCGGGAUGAGGGCCAGGCUGAUGACCUUGCUAGACUAGCUGAGAGGAGGUGCAUGGCCGCCGUCAGUUCGUACCGUGAGGCGUCCUGUUAAGUCAGGCAACGAGCGAGACCCA
rnacentral:rRNA from 1 species